UGGAUUGUAGCGUGCUCAGCCACAACCUUGGUCUCUACCCGCUAGAUGCCAGCAACAUUCCUUCUCCUAGUUGCGAAGCCAAACAUGUCUCCGGACACUGCCUCGCAAAAUAGCUCCCGAUCGGGCGGAGCGGCGCUGCUAUCGAGGGCUGCGAGGCCUAGGCCCAGCACCUACAGCUCCUUGGGCUCUGGGGGUCAGCGGCGCCGUCAUGAGCACCGCCUCUCGCUCCUCACCCGCACAGGGCACGCACAGCAGCCGUCCUGACCAAGCCCAGGCCUGUGUGAUCUUUGUGCCACAUCCAUUCAUCACGCUAGCCCCGCCUGGAAUGCAGACUCCGCCUCCCCGAGAAGGGCCUUUUCACGCCGCGGAAAAGACUCAACAUCGGCGUGCGUCCUCACUCUGCGGUCCCGGGAGUCCGUCCUGUGAGAAUUCAGAAACCGGAGGUGGUGGCUCACUAUUGCAAUUUGUU